UUUAGGAAAGCUCAGUUGGUAGAGCAUGAGAUUCUUAAAUCCCAGGGUCAUGGGUUCUAAUCCCGUUGCCUUGAU